GUCACAAUGGUCUCCUCAUUCCAGGACUGCUCUGUUCUUUCCACAACCCAUCACAGCACAAAUGUUUUUAUUGUUAGGGUCUCAGAGACCUUUGGGGUUUUAGAAUCCAUGUCCUCUGGGGUCUUAGAGCCUAUGUCCUUGGGGUCUCAGAGCCUGUAUCCAGAUGCUUCAUUGAAACAUAGAGCUGCAACUGAAUGCCAGAUGUCUUGGGGUCCCCUACAGUGAGUCAUGCGAAAGGGAGAAUGCAUUCACAGGUGGAGUCGGUGGACCUAGGUUCUGGCAAAAGCUUUAUCACUGACAAGCUCUCACCAUCCUGUUUUCUUGCUUGUGUAAGUGAUGGAAGUGACGACUAGCCGCUCACUUAUCUUACAAUAUUUCCAGGGAGAAACCAACAUCCACAUCAUAAGAGUAAUUUGAGAUUGCAACCGACAGGAACACUUCUGGAUAUUUUCUGGAAAAAAAAAAUCCAGAUACACAGCGUCCUCUGCAUCAGGAUGGGAAUACAGUGACCUUUAACUAACCACUCGGAUUCCAAACCCCUGCAAGUUCACGCUGUUACUAGGCUGAGAGUCAAUCUACCCAGAGAAAAGAUAAGUGUUUUCUUUCUCAAAGCAUAGCUCAUUCCCCAAUAUUUUUAGCCACAGUGAACAUAAUCAGUACCAAAGAUCAGUCUGUAAAUGAGGACAUUUGUCUGCAAAAUGCUGACAAACUCUGGCUCUGGAUGUCUUGAAGCACAAUUAAAUUGACAUGUCUCAUUAAACAUUCUAUGAUGUGGUGCUCCGUGGACUCACAAUCAGAUUCCGUGGUGCUCAGGCAAAUUUCCAACCUGCUGAAAAGUAGCUCAACUGAAAAGGAUGUUUGAAAUAAAUCUGGGACAUGUUGGGGUGUGUGCAAGCAUCAUUUGCUAUCCCUCCCUGUGGUCUACUGGUUUGAAGGAGGAGGCAGGCUGUCGGUUAUCUCUUAAUGAAAAGUCCUUGUGGAUGCAUUGCUAGGUGUGUGAGCCCAGCAAGCCUGCUCAAUUAGCUUCAACCAUUGCAAGGUCCUUUUGGUGGUUCUAAUCUUAAGGCCUCGCUCCCACCUACUUAGCCAUCUGUCCGGUACAUAUUCCUAGGCUUAGGAAAGCAUCUUCCACACUGACAGGAUCAUACAGGUGUAGACAAUACUCAGGUAAAUUUGCAUUAACUGAAACAAGGCCAGUCCUGGCUCUGACUGAGGGUAAGGUUUAUUGAAGUUUUCUAUUCUUCUCCCAUCUGUAUAUUAAUUAGUCUUUAAAGUUGUGUCCUUUUCAUUCUCUGAUCCAUUAAAGAAUCUCUAAUCUCUAUCUUAGGUAGUAAUACUCAACCCUGGCUGAACAUUACAAUCACCUGGAGAGAUUUGCCAAUGAAAUUCUCAAAGAAUAAAUAAAUAAAUAAGUUCCUUAUUUGAUGUUAAGACUUAGAUUUUGUGGGUGCUCCAAAGGUUCAUGCAUUACUGGUUUAGUCUCUGGGCUGUGUCAGUAUCACGGAUGGUGGAGCAUUUAUACAUCAGGGACUUGAGGAAGCAAGUGAGGUCACUAAGAGACUGAAUUUGAAUGGGGUUUUCAAACCUGGUCUCUUCCUCUUUCUUUUUCAUUUCCCAGAUACUGUGGACAGGUUCUUCACCAUGCACGUUUGCCACAAUGUUCUGCCUCACCACAGCCUGCAGGCAAUAGUCCAAGUGACCAUGAACUAAAACAUCACAAACCAUAUGCCAAUAAUAAACCUUUUUU
rnacentral:lncRNA from 1 species